UACGGAGGGGGCUAGCGUUGUUCGGAAUUACUGGGCGUAAAGCGCACGUAGGCGGCUUUGUAAGUUAGAGGUGAAAGCCCGGGGCUCAACUCCGGAAUUGCCUUUAAGACUGCAUCGCUAGAAUUGUGGAGAGGUAAGUGGAAUUCCGAGUGUAGAGGUGAAAUUCGUAGAUAUUGGGAAGAACACCGGUGGCGAAGGCGGCUAUCUGGACCGUUUCUGACGCUGAGGCGCGAAAGCGUGGGGAGCAAACAGG
rnacentral:rRNA from 1 species